rnacentral:piRNA from 1 species
UGGAAAUAGAGUUACAACCAGAGCAGC